UGAGAUGGUGGGUAAAGUCCCGCAACGAGCCUAAUCCUCAUCCUUAGUUACCAUCAGGUAAUGCUGGGGACUUUAAGGAAACUGCCAGUGAUAAACUGGAGGAAGGUGGGGAUGAUGUCAAGUCAUCAUGGCCCUUAUGGAGUGGGCUACACACGUGCUACAAUGGUGGCUACAAUGGGCUGCCCAGUCUCGAGGCUAAUCUAAUCCCUUAAAAGCCAUCUCAGUUCGGAUUGUACUCUGCAACUCGAGUGCAUGAAGUUGGAAUCGCUAGUAAUCGUGGAUCAGCACGCCACGGUGAAUACGUUCUCGGGUCUUGUACACACUGCCCGUCACGCCAUGGGAAUUGGUU
rnacentral:rRNA from 1 species